rnacentral:rRNA from 1 species
AUACGGAGGGUCCGAGCGUUAUCCGGAAUCAUUGGGUUUAAAGGGUCCGUAGGCGGGAAUCUAAGUCAGUGGUGAAAUCUUGCAGCUCAACUGUAAAAUUGCCAUUGAUACUGGAUUUCUCGAAUUAGUGUGAAGUGGUUAGAAUGUGUAGUGUAGCGGUGAAAUGCAUAGAUAUUACACAGAAUACCAAUUGCGAAGGCAGAUCACUAACACUAUAUUGACGCUAAGGGACGAAAGCGUGGGGAGCGAACAGGAUUAGAAACCCCAGUAGUCC